rnacentral:lncRNA from 1 species
AUAUUUUUCUGUGUUCUUGAGUGCUUUCAUGGCACAAGAUCUCUCUGCAAAAUGAACAAAACCAAUUCUAUUUCUCUCUUGUCCGGGUUUUGCAGGAGGCAGAACCACUUUAGUUAUCUUUCCAUGAUGUUCAAAUAGCUUCUUUAGCUGAUCUUGUGUUACAUCCUUUGGCAAAUUCUUCACAUACACGGCCUUUACCUACAUAAGAUAGGUUACCUUAGAUUAACAAAUCCAAAAUAUGAUAAGGACGACACUGACGUUACCAACAUGCUAUAUGCAAAAGAAAGUACGCAUGUCAGCUUCAAAGGAAAUGAAAAAGGAACAAAGUCCUCAAAUGAGACAAGCAUGAAACGUAAACUACCAAAAGAACCCCGCAAGAAGCUAGAAAGUGAAAGAGAGCAACUUAACUAUACCUGAGAAGCAGCAGGAGAAUCAGCAUUCUUAGGAUCAGCCCAGCUCACACUUGGAGCAUUAUCACCAAGCCUGAAUUCCGUGUUCAUCAUCUUCUGCCUUGAAUACUCGGCACAUGCAUUGUUAUAAUACUCAACAAAGGCAAAACCCCUGUUACUACCUGAGUUCUUCAUAUCCUGCAAGCACGAAGCAAAUUCACAAUAUGACAUUACCACUAAACAUCCCCUUAGAGAUCACAAGUAACCAAUAAUCGGCAAAAAUGCACAAGGUCAUUAAACUAACCUUCACUAAUUCCAAACCUGUAACUCCAUGACCAACCUCUGACACAACCUUCCUCAAGUCUUCCUCCCCCCAAUUUCUCGGAAUAUUACCAAUAAACAACCGAUGUUUUGAUUGGGAUGUAGAACAUCUAAUUUUUCUACCCUGAGAGAGAAAGAUAGAAGCUACAAAGUUACUUAACAACCAAAGAAACAUGAAUGCCGUUAUCAGAAACAAAUAGAACACGGAAGCAGGAACUGCCUAUGAGAUAAUAGAAGACUUGUCACCUUAAAUUCGGCAUUAUUUAGCUCAUCAAUGGCUUUAGAGGCCAAUUCUACACUUCUAAAGGUCACAAAAGCAAAGCCCUUGUUUUCACUUGUAUCUUUACCUUUCAUAAUCCGAACCUACCAUAAUAAUUACGAUGUGUCAAUGUUUAUCUCGUGAAAAGAAAAAUAGGGUAAAAGGAUCAUGCACAAAAAUGAAUAAAUUAAUCCCUGUACAUUAAGCUAAAGAGCAAAUUGGUCAUUUCUAAUAAAAGUUUCAUCCAUUUAUACUGUUACAACUGGCAUGGCUGACAAAAUAAUUAAACAUUUACAUGUAGUGUGCCAUGUGUACCUUAUGUUGAUAUAUAAGGACCAGUUUUGAACCGUAAAAAUGAAUAAAAUUUUUAACAAAAGGAUUAGUUUGCUCUUUGAUCUAAUGUAUAAAAACUAUUUUGCCCAUUUUUUGAGUAGAAUGAGCAAAAUGUAAUCCUACUCUUAGCACAAGGGCUUCCAAGAUACUUUUACCAUAGUUUCUCACUAUAGCAAAAGAAAAUACCUCAGUAACCUCUCCAACAGAUUCACAAAAAUCCUUCAAAUCCUCUUGAGAAACAUCAUGUGGUAUGCCUCCAAUAUAUACUUCGGAACCAUGAGGAGGACGAGCAAGAAGCUCGGCACGUUUCUUCUUUUCAUCCUCACCUUCAGCAUCAUCAUCCCCAUUAGCAUUUUCGACAUCUUGAUCUUCCUCUUCUAUUUCUUCUUCCUCCUCCUCCUCCU